rnacentral:lncRNA from 1 species
AUGCUUUAUGCACAGAUUUCUGCAUUCAGCUUAGGAGCAGCUGCUUUCUUUUGUGUCGGUGAUGCAGUUGAGAUCCAGUUGGACACAUCAGCAGAUCUCCCAGCUGACUUGGAGACCAUGAAUGCAAGGUAUUGGUUUAUUGACAUAAUUGCAAUUAAACAAUUUGAAGAGGAAAGCAUUGACUAUGAAAGAUUUUGCUGCUUUUUUCCCCCAAGUUUUUGAUUUUUUUUCCCCCCACAGUUUGGGUAGUGCAAAAAAACAUAGAUGAUAAUAUAUGUUAUUUGAGGUGUGUUCUGCCUAUGUUGAAUGUAGGCGAUUCAGAAAUGUUGGAAGACUUGUGCAAAUGAGUGAGAGUGAACUUGGUGCCCAGCUAGGGGUUUGAAAAGAUCUUGGAGGAAGAGCCACAAGUGAUACCUUCUCUGUGGCUUGCUGUUGCUGUAGCAUUCAUCCCUCCUUGCUGCUGUUAAAGUGUCCGUAUCAGGUGGCAAUAAGGAAAGCAAUGUAGUGGUUGUAUAGUACAGUACUUAAAAUGUUACUGCUGAAAACAUAAAACUGGGCUACACACCUGCUGUUAAACCUCAAUCUCACCCUUAAACCUUUCAGCUGUUGUCAAACCUUGGGAUGAUUCAAUACUAUUUAAAAAGAAAAUAGGUUACGCAAGCAUUUUGAAAGAAAAAAAAUUCCUUCCCCACUGAGGAUGAAAACAGGAGCAUGUUUUCCAUACUGCAGUGUGCUGCAAGAUGCAAAUUGCUAAAACAAGCUUUUCACUCUGAGGCAGUACAGGGACACACACACUUUAACAAGUAAGAACUCAGGUCCCUACUUAAGAGAAAGCCAGUCAGCUCAUGAUCAUAUAAAGCUAUAGAGAGCAGGACCUUCAUUUUGACCUAGAUGGCCUUGUGUAAGGAAAUAAUAUGGACAAUACCCUAAAUUCUGUCCUGGCUAAUCUGCUUUGAAAAUGUGCAUACUACAUUUUCUGAGAGUGUUUUCCUGUGCUCUCAGGAAGGAAUUGGAGUCUUAAGCUAACUUUAUUUCAUAUAUAUAUACACCUAUAUUAUCACAUAUUAUUCCAAUUUAAAAGACGAGUCUAUGUUUUCUUGUUCAUGGAAAGAAACAGCUUUUCAUCUUCAGCAUCUGCAAGAUGCAGUCAGGUCAAAUGCUGUCAGAUGCAGAAGGAAA